rnacentral:rRNA from 1 species
CCUACGGGAGGCAGCAGUGGGGAAUAUUGCACAAUGGGGGAAACCCUGAUGCAGCAACGCCGCGUGAGUGAUGAAGGUUUUCGGAUCGUAAAGCUCUGUUGUUAGGGAAGAACAAGUACCGUUCGAAUAGGGCGGUACCUUGACGGUACCUAACCAGAAAGCCACAGCUAACUACGUGCCAGCAGCCGCGGUAAU